UACGUAGGGUGCAAGCGUUAAUCGGAAUUACUGGGCGUAAAGCGUGCGCAGGCGGUUUUAUAAGUUUGUCGUGAAAGCCCCGGGCUCAACCUGGGAAUUGCGAUGAAGACUGUAAGGCUAGAGUGUGUCAGAGGGGGGUAGAAUUCCACGUGUAGCAGUGAAAUGCGUAGAUAUCGGAAGGAACAUCAGUGGCGAAAGCGGCUUCCUGGACCAGCACCGACGUUCAGGCACGAAAGCGUGGGGAGCAAACAGG
rnacentral:rRNA from 1 species